UAGAGGUUUCAUAAGGUACUUUAGAGGGCGACAUCGUGUGUCGUCACUUGUCACGUGAUUAUGCGUGACAUCUUUAGCUUGGGCAUUGGCUUGGGUCAGUGGCGUCCUGUAAGCGAGCGGGAUUUGAUGUGUUUUCUAACCACUCACCUGACAUUCUGAUCAUGUACAUUUUAUGAUGGUGUACAGUACUACUUUGAUGUGUACUAAAUUUGGUCGCUGAUGUUUGCCGAUCAGUUUGUAUUGGAUAGUUGCGCCAUAGUUCUCGUAAGUGUUCACUAUGCAUGAACCGAUACUAUUCUAUGUGUAGUUAAUUAUUUGCCUAAGUUUUGUAAGCAUACAUCAUACUGUACUGGAAUUGAACAUUAAGGAAUCUAAUUUAAUCUAUGACGUUACAUACAUUACGAUAUCUGUAUGUUUGUUUAUGCCAUUUGAUUUGAUAUGUUCUUAUAAUGGCUGACUAUAGAUUUUAUAAUUACUGGAAUGCAUUGCUUCAUAUCAUUGUAUUAUUUUACUAUUCCAUAUUACAUGACUGAUUUGAUCAUACUCUAUUUUUUAUGCUUAGUUACCAGACUACAGAGAGACUCAAUAAAGUUUACCGUGAUAGUAUAUGGUUGUUUGGGUAUUUCUACUGUCUGCGUUGGGUGAUUGUGGCGCCCUCUUCCAAACCUAAACCGUUGAUUGUAGAAUCAACGACACUGUAGGUUAAUGACCCACUGAACAUUCCAUUUCCUAUAGUCAAAUAGAUACCACCAGCUAACCCUCUCCCGAGAGUUGGGUGGUAUGCUGUCGACAUACCUGAGGAAGUGUAGGAAACAUCUGGUCAACAUCAAAUGAUUUAUUACCGGACACAGGAAAUCGGGAAUGGACAGUGACUUUGGGUGUUGCCUGAGGCUAAAGGACCAAUGAUAAUUGAAUAUUCGAAUGAGUAGGGUGGAGCCAGAUCCCCUACAUAUACCCAGAAUAUCCAAGGAAAC